GGCGGCGUGCUUAACACAUGCAAGUCGAACGGAAAGGCCCCUUCGGGGGUACUCGAGUGGCGAACGGGUGAGUAACACGUGGGCAAUCUGCCCUGCACUUCGGGAUAAGCCUGGGAAACUGGGUCUAAUACCGGAUAGGACCUUUAGGCGCAUGUCUUUAGGUGGAAAGCUUUUGCGGUGUGGGAUGGGCCCGCGGCCUAUCAGCUUGUUGGUGGGGUGAUGGCCUACCAAGGCGACGACGGGUAGCCGGCCUGAGAGGGUGUCCGGCCACACUGGGACUGAGAUACGGCCCAGACUCCUACGGGAGGCAGCAGUGGGGAAUAUUGCACAAUGGGCGCAAGCCUGAUGCAGCGACGCCGCGUGGGGGAUGACGGCCUUCGGGUUGUAAACCUCUUUCACCAUCGACGAAGGUCCGGGUUUUCUCGGAUUGACGGUAGGUGGAGAAGAAGCACCGGCCAACUACGUGCCAGCAGCCGCGGUAAUACGUAGGGUGCGAGCGUUGUCCGGAAUUACUGGGCGUAAAGAGCUCGUAGGUGGUUUGUCGCGUUGUUCGUGAAAUCUCACGGCUUAACUGUGAGCGUGCGGGCGAUACGGGCAGACUAGAGUACUGCAGGGGAGACUGGAAUUCCUGGUGUAGCGGUGGAAUGCGCAGAUAUCAGGAGGAACACCGGUGGCGAAGGCGGGUCUCUGGGCAGUAACUGACGCUGAGGAGCGAAAGCGUGGGGAGCGAACAGGAUUAGAUACCCUGGUAGUCCACGCCGUAAACGGUGGGUACUAGGUGUGGGUUUCCUUCCUUGGGAUCCGUGCCGUAGCUAACGCAUUAAGUACCCCGCCUGGGGAGUACGGCCGCAAGGCUAAAACUCAAAGGAAUUGACGGGGGCCCGCACAAGCGGCGGAGCAUGUGGAUUAAUUCGAUGCAACGCGAAGAACCUUACCUGGGUUUGACAUGCACAGGACGCGUCUAGAGAUAGGCGUUCCCUUGUGGCCUGUGUGCAGGUGGUGCAUGGCUGUCGUCAGCUCGUGUCGUGAGAUGUUGGGUUAAGUCCCGCAACGAGCGCAACCCUUGUCUCAUGUUGCCAGCGGGUAAUGCCGGGGACUCGUGAGAGACUGCCGGGGUCAACUCGGAGGAAGGUGGGGAUGACGUCAAGUCAUCAUGCCCCUUAUGUCCAGGGCUUCACACAUGCUACAAUGGCCGGUACAAAGGGCUGCGAUGCCGCAAGGUUAAGCGAAUCCUUUUAAAGCCGGUCUCAGUUCGGAUUGGGGUCUGCAACUCGACCCCAUGAAGUCGGAGUCGCUAGUAAUCGCAGAUCAGCAACGCUGCGGUGAAUACGUUCCCGGGCCUUGUACACACCGCCCGUCACGUCAUGAAAGUCGGUAACACCCGAAGCCAGUGGCCUAACCCUUGGGAGGGAGCUGUCGAAGGUGGGAUCGGCGAUUGGGACGAAGUCGUAAC
rnacentral:rRNA from 1 species